UACAGAGAUCUCAACCGUUAUUCGGAAUUACUGGGCUUAAAGGGUGUGUAGGCUGUAUGUAAAGUUGGUUGUGAAAAGCUCUGGCUUACCCAGAGUAGGUCAGCCAAAACUAACGUACUAGAGUAUGGUAGGGGGGAGUGGAACUUCUAGUGGAGCGGUGAAAUGCGUUGAUAUUAGAAGGAACGCCGGAGGCGAAAGCGACUCUCUAGACCAUAACUGACGCUGAGGCACGAAAGCCAGGGGAGCAAACGGGAUUAGAUACCCCGGUAGUCCUGGCCCUAAACGAUGAGUACUAGGUAGGGGGCGUAAGCUCUCUGCUGACGCAAAAGUCUUAAGUACUCCGCCUGGGGAGUAUGGUCGCAAGGCUGAA
rnacentral:rRNA from 1 species